rfam:Ipomoea nil DNA, scaffold: scaffold0268, cultivar: Tokyo-kokei standard.
GACUCCAUGGCCCAAUGGAAAGGUGCUGGUUUACGAAACCAGAGGUUCUGGGUUUAAUCCCCAGUGGAGUUG